UACGGAGGAUCCAAGCGUUAUCCGGAUUUAUUGGGUUUAAAGGGUGCGUAGGUGGCCUGUUAAGUCAGGGGUGAAAGACGGUAGCUUAACUAUCGCAGUGCCCUUGAUACUGAUGGGCUUGAAUGAACUAGAGGUAGGCGGAAUGUGACAAGUAGCGGUGAAAAUGCAUAGAUAUGUCACAGAACACCCAAAUUGCGAAGGCAGCUUACUAUGGUUUUAUUGACACUGAGGCACGAAAGCGUGGGAUCAAACAGG
rnacentral:rRNA from 1 species